CUGAAACACAAGUAACAUAACCAAUCAUUACAAAAUGCAUUUUUCUAAACCCUCCCCUCCAUCAUGGAGAUAAUUGGCUUAAGUGGCCGUAGUAACUUAAUUAUCUCCAGGUACAGAAAAUAUUUCUAAGUUAAAACUGUAACAAAGCCACAUAAAAAUACAUAACUCAUUAUUUAUAAUUAAAUCCCUAUGUUCAACAUAUCCCCGGAUAGCUUAGAUCGGAGCGCUCAAUAUAUCCGAAAAGUGCUCAGAUCUCACAAAUACAGUUGGAUCGCCAUGGGGGUUAAAGUUUUCUCAAUGGCCGUUGCAUAAUUCAGUCCAGGAUUAGUUCCAUAAGUCAUUUUAGUCAUCAGGGUCGGUCUAGUUCGUGAGUAUGGAAGUACUGAACGACACUGCGUUCGUAUGUUUAUAAACGAACGGAUUAAAGUCUGGAGCCUGAAAGUCUGGAACAUUAAAUUAAUAGACUCGGAUGACCUUGCAUUCUUGUUGGCAACCCACUCUUUUCAUAUUUGUUUUUC